GACGUAGGGCGCGAGCGUUGUCCGGAUUUAUUGGGCGUAAAGAGCUCGUAGGCGGUCUGUCACGUCUGCCGUGAAAACCCGAGGCUUAACCUCGUGGCUUGCGGUGGAUACGGGCAGACUAGAGGUAGGUAGGGGAGAACGGAAUUCCCGGUGUAGCGGUGAAAUGCGCAGAUAUCGGGAGGAACACCGGUGGCGAAGGCGGUUCUCUGGGCCUUACCUGACGCUGAGGAGCGAAAGCAUGGGGAGCGAACAGG
rnacentral:rRNA from 1 species